GUUGCUACGAAAGUGUCUUCAGCAAAGUCAAUCGCAUUUGAAUAAGACUCAUCACCAGGAAAAUGGUGUUUUGUUCUUCCUUGGAAAAUAGUUUUCCGGCUGUCUUGGUUAUUUAUCUGAAACUGAUACUCUGAGAUAAAUCCUUACAUUGCUGGGGCCGAUGUCCAGAAUCGCUGAUAGAGGCAGAAGAAGCUACAGACUCUUGCAAACCUCGAGUCCUCUCGUACUUGCAUAGAAAAGUUUUUUCUGCCAUCGUGUGCGACAGCGAAAGCUGCAGCAUCCCCGAUGAU